CCCUUAGAUGUUCUGGGCCGCACGCGCGCUACACUGACGAAUGCAACGAGCUUAUAACCUUGGCCGAAAGGUCUGGGUAAUCUCCAAAUUUCGUCGUGAUGGGGAUAGAUUAUUGAAAUUAUUAAUCUUCAACGAGGAAUGCCUAGUAAGCGCAAGUCAUCAGCUUGCGUUGAUUACGUCCCUGCCCUUUGUACACACCGCCCGUCGCUCCUACCGAUUGAAUGGUCCGGUGAAGCGUUCGGACCGUGGCCUUUGGACGGUUCGCCGUCUGUUGGCUGCGGGAAGUUCGUUAAACCUUAUCAUUUAGAGGAAGGAGAAGUCGUAACA
rnacentral:rRNA from 1 species